rnacentral:rRNA from 1 species
UACGUAGGUGACCAGCGUUGUCCGGAUUUACUGGGCGUAAAGAGCGCGCAGGCGGUCGUUCAAGUCGAGUGUGAAAGCCCCCGGCUCAACUGGGGAGGGUCAUUCGAUACUGAUCGACUCGAAGGCAGGAGAGGGAAGCGGAAUUCCCGGUGUAGUGGUGAAAUGCGCAGAUAUCAGGAGGAACACCGGUGGCGAAGGCGGGUCUCUGGGCCGAUACUGACGCUGAGGAGCGAAAGCGUGGGGAGCGAACAGG